rnacentral:sRNA from 1 species
AUAUUUUUCCCAGACGCGGAGGUUGGGGUCAUGGCGCCCCGAAGCCUCCUCCUGCUGCUCUCAGGGGCCCUGGCCCUGACCGAGACUUGGGCAGCGACGCCGCGAUUCCGAGGAUGGAGCCUCGGGAGCCGUGGGUGGAGCAAGAGGGGCCGCAGUAUUGGGAGAGGACCACAGGAUACGCGAAGGCCAACGCACAGACUGACCGAGUGGCCCUGAGGAACCUGCUCCGCCGCUACAACCAGAGCGAGGCCGGGUCUCACACCCUCCAGGGAAUGAAUGGCUGCGACAUGGGGCCCGACGGACGCCUCCUUCGCGGGUAUCACCAGCACGCGUACGACGGCAAGGAUUACAUCUCCCUGAACGAGGACCUGCGCUCCUGGACCGCGGCGGACACCGUGGCUCAGAUCACCCAGCGCUUCUAUGAGGCAGAGGAAUAUGCAGAGGAGUUCAGGACCUACCUGGAGGGCGAGUGCCUGGAGUUGCUCCGCAGAUACUUGGAGAACGGGAAGGAGACGCUACAGCGCGCAGAUCCUCCAAAGGCACACAUUGCCCACCACCCCAUCUCUGACCAUGAGGCCACCCUGA